GUAUGAGGGUGAAACGGGCCGUCCCCAUACCCCGUCCGGUAUGGGCGCCAAAACACAUAAGAUCUCCAUACCCCGUCCGGUAUGGGAGACCACAAUCCCGGUAGGGUUCCCUACAGACCCGGUCCGUCCACCAUCUCCCAAGAUAUCUAGUCAGGCUGACCACAUUAUACAAUUUCUAUUUUCAUAAUCUUUCAUUCUCCUUUUCCCCCAGUCAGUAUUAUCAAUCACAUACAAACAAGCAAAACGAUAAUUUAUGCCAAACAGACAACAUACAGCAUUAAUAUUCCGAUCAUUCA
rnacentral:lncRNA from 1 species